GCUUCAAUAACUCAGUUGGUUAGAGUGUCAGUCUCAUACAUCAGGGAUGAUCUUCUACAUAGAAGAGUGAUCUGGAAGUCGCAAGUUCGACCCUUGCUUGGAGCA